UUAAAUAUUAUAUCAUACUCAGACAGCAAUAUAAAAGAAUUAAUGGGUCCUCUGGCAGGCACUAACCAGCCAAGGCCAGUAGUUGUAAAACAGGCCUGCCAAGGCAACAAAGAUAUUAUAGACAAAGGGUGGGAGAUAUACCCUAAAGGGCAUGUUCUCUGUAAUGAUCCUUCCGCAGGUUCACCUACGGAACGCAAACUCUACUAGUUUUUACAAAAGUAGGCCGGUCAUAUCUAAAUCCUAUGGCUACAGCUAAGCAUGCAGUAGCACCAAAGACCACCUUUGUUUGAUCUGUGAACUGCAGUUAAGCAGCUGCUUGUUACCUUUAGGUAUCCAAGCACAUUAAAGGUGUUGCCUAUAUAAUAGACUGGGAUCAAGGCUUCAGUAUGGUGUUUCAUGAAAA
rnacentral:misc_RNA from 1 species